rnacentral:rRNA from 1 species
CGGCGUGCCAAUACAUGCAAGUCGAGCGGAACACUAAGAGCUGCUCCAAGCGUUUAGCGGCGGACGGGUGAGUAACACGUGGGCAACCUGCCCUGCAGAUCGGGAUAACUCCGGGAAACCGGUGCGAAUACCGAAUAGUUUGUCCUCCCUCCUGGGAGGAUACGGAAAGACGGUUUCGGCUGUCACUGCAGGAUGGGCCCGCGGCGCAUUAGCUAGUGGUGGGGAACGGCCCACCAAGGCCACGAUGCGUAGCCGACCUGAGAGGGUGAUCGGCCACACUGGGACUGAGACACGGCCCAGACUCCUACGGGAGGCAGCAGUAGGGAAUCCUCCGCAAUGGACGCAAGUCUGACGGAGCAACGCCGCGUGAGUGAUGAAGGUUUUCGGAGCGUAAAACAC